rnacentral:siRNA from 1 species
GGUUGAGUGAUGAUGCCCGAAAAC